AUUGGACGCUGGCGGCAGGCCUAACACAUGCAAGUCGAACGGUAACAGGAAACAGCUUGCUGUUUCGCUGACGAGAGGCGGACGGGUGAGUAAUGUCUGGGAAACUGCCUGAUGGAGGGGGAUAACUACUGGAAACGGUAGCUAAAACCGCAUAACGUCGCAAGACCAAAGAGGGGGACCUUCGGGCCUCUUGCCCUCGGAUGAGCCCAGAUGGGAUUAGCUAGUCGGUGGGGUAACGGCUCACCUAGGCGACGAUCCCUAGCUGGUCUGAGAGGAUGACCAGCCACACUGGACCUGGGCCACGGUCCAGACUCCUACGGGAGGCACCGGUGGGGACUCUUGGCCAUUGGGCGCACGCCUGAUGCAGCCAUGCCGCGUGUAUGAAGACGGCCUUCGGGUUGUAAAGUACUUUCAGCGGGAAGGAAGGGAGUCAAGUUAAUACCUUUACUCAUUGACGUUACCCGCAGAAGAAGCCCCGGCUAACUCCGUG
rnacentral:rRNA from 1 species